rnacentral:rRNA from 1 species
UGGCGGUCCGGAAGGCCCUCGGGCCCCCGGAUCCUCGGGUCUCCCGCUCGCGGGAGGCUGCCCGCCGGAGUGCCGAAACCAAACUCUUGAUAUUUUAUGUCUCUCUGAGUAAACUUUUAAAUAAGUCAAAACUUUCAACAACGGAUCUCUUGGUUCUGGCAUCGAUGAAGAACGCAGCGAAAUGCGAUAAGUAAUGUGAAUUGCAGAAUUCAGUGAAUCAUCGAAUCUUUGAACGCACAUUGCGCUCGCCAGUAUUCUGGCGAGCAUGCCUGUUCGAGCGUCAUUUCAACCAUCAAGCUCUGCUUGCGUUGGGGAUCCGCGGCUGCCCGCGGUCCCUCAAAAACAGUGGCGGGCUCGCUAGUCACACCGAGCGUAGUAACUCUACAUCGCUAUGGUCGUGCGGCGGGUUCUUGCCGUAAAACCCCCCAAUUUCUAAGGUUGACCUCGGAUCAGGUAGGAAUACCCGCUGAACUUAAGCAUAUCAAUAAGCGGAGGAAAAGAAACCAACAGGGAUUGCCCUAGUAACGGCGAGUGAAGCGGCAACAGCUCAAAUUUGAAAUCUGGCUUCGGCCCGAGUUGUAAUUUGUAGAGGAAGCUUUUGGUGAGGCACCUUCUGAGUCCCCUGGAACGGGGCGCCAUAGAGGGUGAGAGCCCCGUAUAGUCGGAUGCCGAUCCAAUGUAAAGCUCCUUCGACGAGUCGAGUAGUUUGGGAAUGCUGCUCAAAAUGGGAGGUAAAUUUCUUCUAAAGCUAAAUACCGGCCAGAGACCGAUAGCGCACAAGUAGAGUGAUCGAAAGAUGAAAAGCACUUUGAAAAGAGGGUUAAAUAGCACGUGAAAUUGUUGAAAGGGAAGCGUUUGUGACCAGACUUGCGCCGUUCCGAUCAUCCGGUGUUCUCACCGGUGCACUCGGGACGGCUCAGGCCAGCAUCGGUUUUGGCGGGGGGACAAAGGUCCUGGGAA